UAGCUCAGCGGGAGAGCGCUUCCCUGACACGGAAGAGGUCACUGGUUCAAUCCCAGU
rnacentral:tRNA from 1 species